AUAGGUGUGUCAAUGUGUCUAGGAAUGAUUGGCAUGUGGGAUAGCCAACUGAAAUGGAGACUCUCCCUAAGCAUGGGCAGCACAGUCCAAGAGGAUGAUGGCUUGGAUGGAAUAAAGGUUGGAAGAAGGAGGAAGCAGAAGCAGGCACAAGCUUGAUUGUUCUUGAAUGGGUUCUUGAUUGUUGCUGCAAUCCUCUGAGGAUAUGGGACUCUCCUUCUUCACUUUUCCAAAGCAGACUCUGCCAGUGAUUCUCCAGAAGCCUUCUAUCUGGGACUAGGGUAGCACUGUUGAUCCCUCUUGUUCUGGGGCUUCAGCCUCUUGGACUACACAGCUAUUGGUUCUUCCAGCUCUCUAGCCUGCAGACGGCCAUUGUGGACUAUCUAGCUUCUGGUUGCAUAAGCUGACCUAAUAAAUCCCCCUUUUAUAAUUAUAUUUCCUGUUGAUUCUAUUCUUCUAGAGAAACUUGACUAAUACAUUUGGACUCAUUCAGCUCAUUGAAUACAUAGGUUUGUAAUUUUCAAGAUAUUUGGGAUGUUUGCAGUCAGUAUUUCCUUGAGUACUUUUUUUUAGUCUGUCCUCUUUUUUUCUCCUUCUGAGAUUCCAGUGACACAAAGUUAGAUCUUUUGUUAUAAUCCACUAGUCCACAAGGCUUUGUUUAGCAUUUGUCAGUCUAUUUUCUUUACAUUUUCCAGAUUGGGCAAUUUUUGUUGUCCUAGUUCAUGGAUUCUUUCCUCUAACACCUUCAUUAUGUUGUUGGGUGCAUCAGUUGAGUUUUGUUUUAUUUGAUUUUUUUUUUGGUUUUAAAAUACCAAUUUUGUCAUUCUUUUUGUAACCCAUUUCUUUGUUAUUCCUUCUUUCCCAAGUCUAAGGUUUUUCAUUUGUUUC
rnacentral:lncRNA from 1 species